GGGCCCGCACAAGCGGUGGAGCAUGUGGUUUAAUUCGAUGAUACGCGAGGAACCUUACCAGGGCUUAAAUGUAGUGGGACAGGUCUAGAGAUAGAUCUUUCUUCGGACUACCUACAAGGUGCUGCAUGGUUGUCGUCAGCUCGUGCCGUGAGGUGUCAGGUUAAGUCCUAUAACGAGCGCAACCCCUGUCGUUAGUUACCAGCAAUUAAAGUUGGGUACUCUAGCGAGACUGCCAGGGUUCAACCUGGAGGAAGGCGGGGACGACGUCAAGUCAUCAUGCCCCUUAUGUUCAGGGCUGCACGCAUGCUACAAUGGACGGUACAACGGGCAGCGAUCCCGCGAGGGUGAGCG
rnacentral:rRNA from 1 species